rnacentral:rRNA from 17 species
CCUGGCGGCCUUAGCGCGGUGGUCCCACCUGACCCCAUGCCGAACUCAGAAGUGAAACGCCGUAGCGCCGAUGGUAGUGUGGGGUCUCCCCAUGCGAGAGUAGGGAACUGCCAGGC